rnacentral:rRNA from 1 species
UACGAAGGGUGCAAGCGUUACUCGGAAUUACUGGGCGAAAGCGUGCGUAGGUGGUGAGUUAAGUCUGUCGUGAAAGCCCCGGGCUCAACCUGGGAAUGGCGAUGGAUACUGGCUCGCUAGAGUGCGGUAGAGGAGGAGUGGAAUUCCCGGUGUAGCAGUGAAAUGCGUAGAGAUCGGGAGGAACAUCAGUUGCGAAGGCGGCUCUCUGGACCAGCACUGACACUGAGGCACGAAAGCGUGGGGAGCAAACAGG